rnacentral:rRNA from 1 species
AUUGAACGCUGGCGGCAGGCUUAACCCAUGCAAGUCGAGCGGAGAUGAGGUGCUUGUACCUUAUCUUCGCGGCGGACGGGUGAGUAAUGCUUAGGAAUCUGCCUAUUAGCGGGGGACAACAUUCCGACAGGAAUGCCAAUACCGCAUACGUCCUACGGGAGAAAGCAGGGGAUCUUCGGACCUUGCGCCAAUAGAUGAGCCUAAGUCGGAUUAGCUAGGUGGUGGGGUAAAGGCCUACCAAGGUGACGAUCUGUAGCGGGUCUGAGAGGAUGAUCCGCCACACUGGGACUGAGACACGGCCCAGACUCCUACGGGAGGCAGCAGUGGGGAAUAUUGGACAAUGGGGGGAACCCUGAUCCAGCCAUGCCGCGUGUGUGAAGAAGGCCUUAUGGUUGUAAAGCACUUUAAGCGAGGAGAAGGCUACUGAGACUAAUACUCUUGGAUAGUGGACGUUACUCGCAGAAUAAGCACCGGCUAACUCUGUGCCAGCAGCCGCCGUAACAC